UGGGGAAUUUUGGACAAUGGGCGAAAGCCUGAUCCAGCAAUGCCGCGUGUGUGAAGAAGGCCUUCGGGUUGUAAAGCACUUUUGUCCGGAAAGAAAUCCUUGGCUCUAAUACAGUCGGGGGAUGACGGUACCGGAAGAAUAAGCACCGGCUAACUACGUGCCAGCAGCCGCGGUAAUACGUAGGGUGCAAGCGUUAAUCGGAAUUACUGGGCGUAAAGCGUGCGCAGGCGGUUUGCUAAGACCGAUGUGAAAUCCCCGGGCUCAACUGGGAACUGCAUUGUGACUGGCAGGCUAGAGUAUGGCAGAGGGGGGUAGAAUUCCACGUGUAGCAGUGAAAUGCGUAGAGAUGUGGAGGAAUACCGAUGGCGAAGGCAGCCCCCUGGGCCAAUACUGACGCUCAUGCA
rnacentral:rRNA from 1 species